UCUAUCAACUUUUUGGUAACUUUCUCAUC
rnacentral:sRNA from 1 species